rnacentral:rRNA from 1 species
UACACACCGCCCGUCACACCAUGGGAGUGGGUUGUACCAGAAGUAGUUAGGCUAACUGUCAAAGGGGGCCGAUUACCACGGUAUGAUUCAUGACUGGGGUG